GUGGGGAAUUUUGGACAAUGGGCGCAAGCCUGAUCCAGCAAUGCCGCGUGCAGGAAGAAGGCCUUCGGGUUGUAAAGCUCUUUCGGCAGGAACGAAACGGUGAGCUCUAACAUAGCUCGCUAAUGACGGUACCUGAAGAAGAAGCACCGGCUAACUACGUGCCAGCAGCCGCGGUAAUACGUAGGGUGCGAGCGUUAAUCGGAAUUACUGGGCGUAAAGCGUGCGCAGGCGGUUGUGUAAGACAGGGGUGAAAUCCCCGGGCUUAACCUGGGAACUGGGCUUGUGACUGCACGGCUAGAGUAUGGCAGAGGGGGGUGGAAUUCCACGUGUAGCAGUGAAAUGCGUAGAGAUGUGGAGGAACACCGAUGGCGAAGGCAGCCCCCUGGGCCAAUACUGACGCUCAUGCACGAAAGCGUGGGGAGCAAACAGGAUUAGAAACCCGAGUAGUCC
rnacentral:rRNA from 1 species